rnacentral:rRNA from 1 species
CGUAGGGAGCAAGCGUUGUCCGGAAUCAUUGGGCGUAAAGCGCGCGUAGGUGGCUUCGUAAGUCCGUUGUGAAAGUCAAAGGCUCAACCUUUGAAAGCCGAUGGAUACUGCGGAGCUAGAGUACGGAAGAGGCGAGUGGAAUUCCUGGUGUAGCGGUGGAAUGCGCAGAUAUCAGGAGGAACACCAAUAGCGAAGGCAGCUCGCUGGGACGUUACUGACACUGAGGCGCGAAAGCGUGGGGAGCAAACAGG